rfam:Triticum urartu cultivar G1812 contig409274, whole genome shotgun sequence.
UCCAUUGCUCAGUUGGUAGAGCACAAGGCUGUUAACCUUGUGGUCAUGGGUUCAAGCCCCAUGAUGGAG